GCAGAACGCGAAGAACCUUACCUGGCCUUGACAUCCACGGAACUUUCCAGAGAUGGAUUGGUGCCUUCGGGAACCGUGAGACAGGUGCUGCAUGGCUGUCGUCAGCUCGUGUCGUGAGAUGUUGGGUUAAGUCCCGCAACGAGCGCGAACCCUUGUCCUUAGUUGCCAGCACGUAAAGGUGGGAACUCUAAGGAGACCGCCGGCGACAAGCCGGAGGAAGGUGGGGAUGGACGUCAAGUCAGUCAUGGCCCUUACGGCCAGGGCUACACACGUACUACAAUGGUGGGGACAGAGGGCUGCAAGCCGGCGACGGUGAGCCAAUCCCAGAAAGCCGAUCGUAGUCCGGAUUGUAGUCUGCAACUCGACGUACAUGAAGUCGGAAUCGCUAGUAAUCGCGGAUCAGGCA
rnacentral:rRNA from 1 species